GAUGGCAUGACUGAGUGGUUAUAGUGAUUGAUUAGAAAUCAAUUGGGCUCUGCCCGCCCAGGUUCGAGUCCUGGUGUCGUCU